ensembl:snoRNA SNORD22 Small nucleolar RNA SNORD22
UCCCAGUGAAGAGACAUUUACACGUCUUCCUCCUGUCCAAACCCCGGAGCCUGGGAAGGUGAACUGCUGGGGCUGGUGGGGGAGACAGGAUAUGUGCUCUGGGAGGAACUAUCUGAGGGGU